rnacentral:ncRNA from 1 species
UAGUUUGAUUCUUGCUACCUUUUUGGUUAAAACAGAAUAUGAUACAUGCAACUCUCUUGUAACCCGUGCAAACCUAUUAAGUAUUCUUAAAGACAUAUCGCCUAUGGAUAAGUCACCCAAAACACCAUUUUCACGCCUGCAGUAAAGAAUUUUGCCCAAUAUUUAAUUAAUGAAUCAGAUACUGUUUUUAGUGCUGACUAAACUCGUGCCAGCCGUCGCGGUUAUACGAUGAGCACAAAUCAAAUUUUCCGGGAGCGUUAUGAUAAAACCCUUAUGUUUUAGUGGUACAAUACAUUUAACAUCUUUUACUUGUUCUAUAUCAUCGAUCAAUACGAAAGAAUAAUCAAAAACAAGGAUUAGAUACCCUUUUAUUUUAUUCCUUAAAUCCUUGCCCCGGGCACUACGAACACAUGUUUAAAACCCAAAGAAAUUGGCGGCACUUUAUGCUACUAGGGGAAUCUGUCAAUUAAUUCGCCAAUCCACGUUAAACCCCUCUUACUUUUGAUUCUCAGCCUGUAUACUGCCGUCGCAAGCUAGCAUUACUUAAAAUGGCUAGCUUCCCAGCCCACCCUUCUACGUCAGGUCAAUGUGCAGCCCAUAAGUAAGGUCUUGAUGGAUUACACUAAUAAAAAAACAGGUUAUCGUCAGUAAUAAAACGAUAUAAUUUGGACUUAGCAGUAAAUAAAAAAUAGUAUAUUUUACUGAAAUAGCAAUCUAUAGUGUGCACACAUCGCCCGUCACUCUCACCGAAAGGCGAGAUAAGUCGUAACAUAGUAGGCGUAACUGAAGUUGUGCCUU